UACGUAGGGUGCGAGCGUUAAUCGGAAUUACUGGGCGUAAAGCGUGCGCAGGCGGUUGUGCAAGACAGAUGUGAAAUCCCCGGGCUCAACCUGGGAAUUGCAUUUGUGACUGCACGGCUAGAGUGUGUCAGAGGGGGGUAGAAUUCCACGUGUAGCAGUGAAAUGCGUAGAGAUGUGGAGGAACACCGAUGGCGAAGGCAGCCCCCUGGGUCAAGAUUGACGCUCAUGCACGAAGGCGUGGGGAGCAAACAGG
rnacentral:rRNA from 1 species